AUUGAACGCUGGCGGCAGGCCUAACACAUGCAAGUCGAACGAGUGGCGGACGGGUGCGUAAUGUCUGGGAAACUGCCCGAUGGAGGGGGGUAACUACUGGAAACGGUAGCUAAUACCGCAUACCCUCGGAUGUGCCCAGAUGGGAUUAGCUAGUAGGGGGGGUAAAGGCUCACAAAGGCGACGAUCCCUCGCUGGUCUUAGAGGAGGACCAGCCACACUGGAACUGGGCCACGGGCCAGACUCCUACGGGAGGCAGCAGUGGGGAAUAUUGCACAAUGGGCGCAAGCCUGAUGCAGCCAUGCCGCGUGUAUGAAGAAGGCCUUCGGGUUGUAAAGUACUUUCAGCGAGGAGGCGUUACUCGCAGAAGAAGCACCGGCUAACUCCGUGCCAGCAGCCGCGGUAAUUC
rnacentral:rRNA from 1 species